rnacentral:tRNA from 1 species
AUUUAAAUAGUUUAAUAAAAAUAUUAAUUUGUGGGAUUAAAGUUAUAUUCUUAUAUUUUAAAUA